GGAAUAUUGCACAAUGGGGGAAACCCUGAUGCAGCGACGCCGCGUGAGUGAAGAAGUAUUUCGGUAUGUAAAGCUCUAUCAGCAAGGAAGAAAAAAAUGACGGUACUUGACUAAGAAGCCCCGGCUAACUACGUGCCAGCAGCCGCGGUAAUACGUAGGGGGCAAGCGUUAUCCGGAUUUACUGGGUGUAAAGGGAGCGUAGACGGUCGUGUAAGUCUGAAGUGAAAUCCCCCGGCUCAACCGGGGAAUUGCUUUGGAAACUAUACGACUAGAGUGCAGGAGAGGUAAGUGGAAUUCCUAGUGUAGCGGUGAAAUGCGUAGAUAUUAGGAGGAACACCAGUGGCGAAGGCGGCUUACUGGACUGUAACUGACGUUGAGGCUCGAAAGCGUGGGGAGCAAACA
rnacentral:rRNA from 1 species